CCCAGCUGAGUGCGAGAGAUGAGCAGAGCCAGAGCCCGAGCAGCAGGAAAUCACAGCCUGGCUGGAGCGCUGCAGAGAUGGUCUGAGUAAUUAUCAACGCCUGCAGGUAUGUGGCAGCAAAAAUUGGGAGCCUGUGCGGCCACAGAGAUGAGGAGCCCCUUACCACCACAGGCCACCCAGCUGACCUCAGCCAGAACCAAAAUGUAAACACAGUGAUAGCAGAAGCUACCCCUUGGGUGACGGACACAGUCACUAGGGACAAGGUGCUCGGCCCUGAACAGCCCUGCGGAUCCUGAGGGUAGAUGGCCUCAGGGCCCUCCUUGGAAGCCCUAGAUCUUCUUUCUCAGUGGCUCUACGAAGAUCUUGGUCUGCUGGGGCUCCUGUUCCCCGGUGCUCCCAAAUGUGUGUUCACCAGUAAAUCCAUCUUGCAUUUGUUCUCUAUAGAUUUGUAUAACAAUAUGAAUUGUCUUUAUUAACCCCUUGCCACAAGGAUUUCCCAGGGUGAAAGACAAAUUAAGUCCGACACUCAGCACCUGCUAGAACUGCUGCCUGCAAAACUCACUCCAGGCGCUGUACCCGUCUCAGUCUAAUAACAAACCAAAGUCGUCUUCAAUAGGUACAUAGGGCCAAAUUCUGGUCUCAUGUAUACUGGGGUAACUUCAGAGUAACUUCACUGAAGUCAAUAGAGUCAGAUCCUCAGCUGGUAUAAAUUAUUACUGCUCCAUUGACUGGAGCUAUGCUGAUUUGCACCAGCUGAGGAUUUGGACCAGAGUAGCUUUGAACUUACACUGGUAUAACAGAGAACAGAAUCUGGCCUUUAGGGCUAAAUAUCAUCUCUAAAACGGUUAUGAAGCUGAGAAACUCCAUUGAUUUCAAUGAAGUUACUCUGGAUCUACACUGGAGUAAGAGCAGAAUUUGGCCCAUAGAGGGAAGACACCACCCUUGCAUGGGUGGAUGGAUCUGGCCCUCGGUGAUCUGAUUUCCUUUCCUCUGGCAAGUUCUCCCUGUAUUGUCACAGUGAGCAAUGACGACAGAUUCACAAACUCUUUUGUGUGGAGAUGAAUAAGUCUGAAUCCUUCCUGUGCUACAAACCCUCAAUUCAACCAGCAAUAAAGACUAAAAUCAGAAUGAAA